GGUUAAUUCGAUGAUACGCGAGGAACUUACCUGGGCUCGAACGUAAGAUGACUGUAGGUGAAAGCUUACAUCUCUUCGGAGCAUUUUACGAGGUGCUGCAUGGUUGUCGUCAGCUCGUGCCGUGAGGUGUCGGGUUAAGUCCCAUAACGAGCGCAACCCCUACCUUAGUUGCCAUCAGGUAAUGCUGGGGACUCUAAAGGAACUGCCUACGCAAGUAGUGAGGAAGCGGGGACGACGUCAAAUCAGCACGGCCCUUACGUCCAGGGCUACACACGUGCUACAAUGGCCGAUACAGAGGGCAGCUACCUGGUGACAGGAUGCAAAUCUCCAAAGUCGGUCUCAGUUCGGAUCGGAGUCUGCAACCCGACUCCGUGAAGUUGGAUUCGCUAGUAAUCGCGCAUCAGCCAUGGCGCGGUGAAUACGUUCCCGGGCCUU
rnacentral:rRNA from 1 species